AGUGAACGCUGGCGGUAGGCCUAACACAUGCAAGUCGAACGGCAGCACAGGAGAGCUUGCUCUCUGGGUGGCGAGAGGCGGACGGGUGGGGAAUACAUCGGAAUCUACUCUGUCGUGGGGGAUAACGUAGGGAAACUUACGCUAAUACCGCAUACGACCUACGGGUGAAAGCAGGGGACCUUCGGGCCUUGCGCGAUUGAAUGAGCCGAUGUCGGAUUAGCUAGUUGGCGGGGUAAAGGCCCACCAAGGCGACGAUCCGUAGCUGGUCUGAGAGGAUGAUCAGCCACACUGGAACUGAGACACGGUCCAGACUCCUACGGGAGGCAGCAGUGGGGAAUAUUGGACAAUGGGCGCAAGCCUGAUCCAGCCAUACCGCGUGGGUGAAGAAGGCCUUCGGGUUGUAAAGCCCUUUUGUUGGGAAAGAAAUCCAGCUGGCUAAUACCCGGUUGGGAUGACGGUACCCAAAGAAUAAGCACCGGCUAACUUCGUGCCAGCCGCCGCAGUAA
rnacentral:rRNA from 1 species